UUCUCUACAUGCCCACAUAUGUGAGAGAGAUAAUUGAAGAUGACAGAGAAGAUUGCAACCAUAUUUUGUAGAUCUCAAUAGUGGUGGUGAAAAAGAUUGCAGUCAUCUUCUUCAAAUCUUCCACAUGAAAUCAAGGUAGUUCUCUAACCUUAUGCAUGUAUGCAUAAAAUAAAAUAAAAAAUUCUUGGCUUCUGCUGAUUUUAUAAAAUAAAAUAAAAAUUAUUUUUUCUAGAUUUCAUUUACCAUCACCUUUUGCACUCUGCUGAGGAAUUUGUCAAAAUUAAUAAUCGAUAGAUGAUGUCUCUAUGAUUGAUCUCAUCAGUUCAAUUAAGCAUAGCUGUUAAGUAAGGUGUUUUAUUAACUUCUAGCAAGCUCUUAGCUUAAAUGCAUGCAAUUGGCUUGUGGCAGCACCAGCAAUUUUCUAAUUUCUCUCCAUCAAAAUUCACAACACACGAAGACAUAGGGGUGCAGUAAAUGGAUGGUCAAGAAGGCUAACAUUAACAUAUCAUUUUGCCAACGACUAUAGUCCCUACAAAGAAGACAAAAAAU
rnacentral:lncRNA from 1 species